rnacentral:sRNA from 1 species
CAAACAUGCUGUGCACACAGAGCAGCUCUUUGUAUCCCACUCCUGGCCGAUCUCCUGCAUCAUCUCAUUGAGCUUCAUUGAACUCCACAGUCUGCAUGCUCUGUGGAACUCAGGGUCUUCAUUUUGCAUGGAACUCAGGGUCUUCAUUUUCCAUGGAACUCAAAGUCUUCUUGCUCUGUGGAACUUGGAGUCUCCUGGCUCCAUGGAACUCAGGGCCUUUGUGCUCCAUGGAACUUGGGGGCACCACUUGCCCUGAUCCCUUUUGGUUUCCCCCACAAGGUAGCAGGAGUGCCCAUGAAUGAACAUGGGUGAAAUCAUUGGAUACAGAGACAGGGUUUCUCUAUGUUGAUCAGGCUGAUCUCAAACUCCCGACCUCAGGUGAUCCGUCCACCUCCUCGGCCUCCCAAAGUGCUGGGAUUACAGGCAUGAGCCUCCGUGCUUGGCCACUGGAGUGGCCAUUGUCUUAUUCCUUUACUUUCUCUAAUAAACUUGCUUUCACUUUA